GAGAGAACAUGGUGAAGAAGCAAAUUGAGGUGACCAUUAAGGAAAGUAGUAAUGACUGUGUGUCCCUCCUUCACUCACUGUUCAUAUGGGAAAAUGAGUAGGUGGAUGUGAGGAGAGUAGAAGCUAAGAGGG
ensembl:ncRNA C50D2.12 ncRNA